rnacentral:sRNA from 1 species
GGGAGCGGAAAUCCCUCCCCAGGGCUAUAUGCGGGCGCGAGCGCCCAUCCACCCCUAGCGCCCAUAUGGCUUUGACCCGUCCGGUUGUCCCCCCGGACGGGUC